rnacentral:rRNA from 1 species
UACGUAGGGUGCAAGCGUUGUCCGGAAUUAUUGGGCGUAAAGAGCUCGUAGGCGGUUCGUCGCGUCGGCUGUGAAAUCCCGAGGCUCAACCUCGGGUCUGCAGUCGAUACGGGCGGACUGGAGUUCGGCAGGGGAGACUGGAAUUCCUGGUGUAGCGGUGAAAUGCGCAGAUAUCAGGAGGAACACCGGUGGCGAAGGCGGGUCUCUGGGCCGAUACUGACGCUGAGGCGCGACAGCGUGGGGAGCAAACAGG